rnacentral:rRNA from 1 species
AGUGAACGCUGGCGGCGUGGUUUAGGCAUGCAAGUCGAACGAUCCCGCAAGGGAUAGUGGCAAAAGGGUGAGUAACGCGUGGGUAACCUGCCCUGUACACACGGAUAACAUACCGAAAGGUAUGCUAAUACGGGAUAACAUGAGAGAGUCGCAUGGCUUUUUUAUCAAAGCUCCGGCGGUACAGGAUGGACCCGCGUCUGAUUAGCUAGUUGGUGAGGUAAUGGCUCACCAAGGCGACGAUCAGUAGCCGACCUGAGAGGGUGAUCGGCCACAUUGGAACUGAGACACGGUCCAAACUCCUACGGGAGGCAGCAGUGGGGAAUAUUGCACAAUGGGCGAAAGCCUGAUGCAGCAACGCCGCGUGAGCGGUGAAGGCCUUCGGGUCGUAAAGCUCUGUCCUCAAGGAAGAUAAUGACGGUACUUGAGGAGGAAGGCCCGGCUAACUACGUGCCAGCCGCCGCGGUAAAAC